UUUAUAUCUCGUGAUGUAGUCCUCGUUAUAAACUGAGGAAAAUGAAGUCAGACAAACGGAAAUUGACAGUGUAGUGACAAAUGAGACAGAAAUUAAACUAUCAUAGGAGGUUUACAACAAAUAGUUUUAUAUUAAAACAUUGAAAAAACUGUGCUACUUAAGUGCAAUACAAAAUUUUAGAUUAUAGCAUGAUAAAUUUAUAAUUUGUAUUUUAC